UACGUAGGGUGCAAGCGUUAAUCGGAAUUACUGGGCGUAAAGCGGGCGCAGGCGGUUUUGUAAGACUGACGUGAAAUCCCCGGGCUCAACCUGGGAAUUGCGUUGGAGACUGCAAGGCUAGAAUCUGGCAGAGGGGGGUAGAAUUCCACGUGUAGCAGUGAAAUGCGUAGAGAUGUGGAGGAACACCGAUGGCGAAGGCAGCCCCCUGGGUCAAGAUUGACGCUCAUGCACGAAAGCGUGGGGAGCGAACAGG
rnacentral:rRNA from 1 species